UACGUAGGGUGCGAGCGUUGUCCGGAAUUACUGGGCGUAAAGAGCUCGUAGGUGGUUUGUCGCGUUGUCCGUGAAAACUCACAACUCAAUUGUGGGCGUGCGGGCGAUACGGGCAGACUGGAGUACUGCAGGGGAGACUGGAAUUCCUGGUGUAGCGGUGGAAUGCGCAGAUAUCAGGAGGAACACCGGUGGCGAAGGCGGCUCACUGGACCGGUUCUGACGCUGAGGCGCGAAAGCGUGGGGAGCAAACGGG
rnacentral:rRNA from 1 species